CUGUCUCUUCCUAAAUUGACACACAACUGUAUAUAUACGAGUCCAAGGCAGCGAAUUUUGACAGACACCAUAAAUUUUUUGUAAAAUCUCAUUCCCAUUCUUGCUUUUGCCUUUUUUUUAUUUGUUACUCCACACCUCCCUCUUAUUAUGACAGAGCCUAAAACUGAAGCCGGAUCUCCCAAGCUCAAAGACAGGCCCAGAACUUACAUCCAGCAGCAGAUGGAGCAAGUCCCGUGUCUCCCUCCUAAGAGAGGGCGUAUCAAGCGUCGAAUUCUCUCAUGUCUUUUUCACAAGAUGAUGAUCAUUCUUCAGAAAUUCGGUUUUCAUCCCCUCUGCUCCUGUUUUGGCAAUUCUUCCGCAUGAUUUUUAAUAAGUACAUAGCUAUUGAUCUUUUUUAAAAUCUUAGACACGUUCGUAUUUUAUAAAAUGCGAAUUUGUAGACG
rnacentral:lncRNA from 1 species